rnacentral:rRNA from 1 species
AUACGAAGGGGGCUAGCGUUACUCGGAAUUACUGGGCGUAAAGGGCGCGUAGGCGGCACUGUUAGUCAGGCGUGAAAUUCCCGGGCUCAACCUGGGGACUGCGCUUGAUACGGCAGAGCUAGAGGAUGGAAGAGGGUCGUGGAAUUCCCAGUGUAGAGGUGAAAUUCGUAGAUAUUGGGAAGAACACCGGUGGCGAAGGCGGCGACCUGGUCCAUUACUGACGCUGAGGCGCGACAGCGUGGGGAGCAAACAGGAUUAGAUACCCUGGUAGUCCACGCCGUAAACGAUGUGCGCUGGAUGUUGGGGUUCCUAGAACCUCAGUGUCGUAGCUAACGCGGUAAGCGCACCGCCUGGGGAGUACGGCCGCAAGGUUGAA